UCGAGUUCUUGAUCAGGAGGCAAAUAAACCGAUAUCGCAGCAAAAAAAAGACAUAUCUUAGUCCUUACUUCAAGAGCAAUUUCAAAAUUUCAAUGUUCAAAAUUUUUUGGGGAUCAAUUCUUUCUGGUAAGUACCUUUUUUGUAAUGUGGUUUCUCUUGAAGGAGCUCCGCGGCACGCAGCACAGAGGGUGCAAAUUUUAAUCUGGAACAAAGAAACAUUUUUUUUCUUAAUCUAGAUAAGAAAAGCUAGAGAAACACGUAGGGGAUUUAAAAAAUAUUUAUUUUUGUGGAAUUAGCAAGCAUUUGACGGAAAAAACUCUAUUUUGGACUAAAAAAACGGCACUUAAAUAAUUAUAACAAUCGUUUAAAUUAAUCUAUCGAAAAUCCCCUACGCUCUUCUCUUAAGAAGGUUGUUAUACAGACGUAGUGAAAAACCUGAUUAAAAAUAUUUAAAAUUGUUUGAGUUAUGCUGCGUGCCAAUUUCAGAAAACGUGUUUUGGGAAAAGCGCGUUUAAAGUUUGGAAAUUUGGAGAAGUCGUUAGGUAGCAGUCACUAACGCUUGGUUAAAAGCUUUAAAUAUUUAUGAAAUAAACUUCGGUAACGUAUAAAACUUUUUGUUCUGUAUUUUAAAAGGUUCAAAGAAUUUUUUAAGCUUAUAAAAAAAAAUCAAUUUUUUGAAAUUUCUACAGUGGUGUUACCCCUUAAUGGAAAUCCGGGCUUAGCGGAGCAUGGUAGCAAUAAUGCUAAAGAGUCUGAGUGUAGCAGAGAGGACCGUCGCUAAAUAGCACACCGUAUGGCGGGACUUAAAAAGCCACACCGGCAUCAAAGGACGACGAAGGAAGCAAGCUUCGACUGAAAACAGGUCUAUCAAUGAGGAGGAAUGGGCACUAUUCAACAGCUGAAAAUAUUACAUUAGAGGAGAGAAUUCAAUUCAAAUUCGAAGUGGGAAAUGAAAGCGUGAUUUCGGAAGCCCCGUCGACUUUAAGGACGUUAAAGUCAUGUAAUUCGAACACCUCAGAUAGGAAAACACCGCGAGCGAACUUAAAAAGAAAGCGCAUGGAACGGUGAUGGUCGGAAGAAAGUUAUGGAAAUAGCUGAAAAACAGGCAGACUCACUAAAACCAAUUUCCUUUGAAAUUCAUGUGAAAUAAUUUCAUUAUAUUUGUCC